AGUUUGAUCAUGGCUCAGGAUGAACGCUGGCGGCGUGCUUAACACAUGCAAGUCGAACGAUGAAGCCCAGCUUGCUGGGUGGAUUAGUGGCGAACGGGUGAGUAACACGUGAGUAACCUGCCCUUGACUCUGGGAUAAGCCCGGGAAACUGGGUCUAAUACCGGAUAGGAGCGCCUGUCGCAUGACGGGUGUUGGAAAGAUUUUUCGGUCAUGGAUGGACUCGCGGCCUAUCAGCUUGUUGGUGAGGUAAUGGCUCACCAAGGCGACGACGGGUAGCCGGCCUGAGAGGGUGACCGGCCACACUGGGACUGAGACACGGCCCAGACUCCUACGGGAGGCAGCAGUGGGGAAUAUUGCACAAUGGGCGGAAGCCUGAUGCAGCGACGCCGCGUGAGGGAUGACGGCCUUCGGGUUGUAAACCUCUUUCAGUAGGGAAGAAGCGAAAGUGACGGUACCUGCAGAAGAAGCACCGGCUAACUACGUGCCAGCAGCCGCGGUAAUACGUAGGGUGCGAGCGUUAUCCGGAAUUAUUGGGCGUAAAGAGCUCGUAGGCGGUUUGUCGCGUCUGUCGUGAAAGUCCGGGGCUUAACCCCGGAUCUGCGGUGGGUACGGGCAGACUAGAGUGCAGUAGGGGAGACUGGAAUUCCUGGUGUAGCGGUGGAAUGCGCAGAUAUCAGGAGGAACACCGAUGGCGAAGGCAGGUCUCUGGGCUGUAACUGACGCUGAGGAGCGAAAGCAUGGGGAGCGAACAGGAUUAGAUACCCUGGUAGUCCAUGCCGUAAACGUUGGGCACUAGGUGUGGGGACCAUUCCACGGUUUCCGCGCCGCAGCUAACGCAUUAAGUGCCCCGCCUGGGGAGUACGGCCGCAAGGCUAAAACUCAAAGGAAUUGACGGGGGCCCGCACAAGCGGCGGAGCAUGCGGAUUAAUUCGAUGCAACGCGAAGAACCUUACCAAGGCUUGACAUGUUUUCGAUCGCCGUGGAGACACGGUUUCCCCUUUGGGGCGGAUUCACAGGUGGUGCAUGGUUGUCGUCAGCUCGUGUCGUGAGAUGUUGGGUUAAGUCCCGCAACGAGCGCAACCCUCGUUCCAUGUUGCCAGCACGUAAUGGUGGGGACUCAUGGGAGACUGCCGGGGUCAACUCGG
rnacentral:rRNA from 1 species